AACGAACGCUGGCGGCGUGCCUAAUACAUGCAAGUCGAGCGGACAGAUGGGAGCUUGCUCCCUGAAGUCAGCGGCGGACGGGUGAGUAACACGUGGGCAACCUGCCUGUAAGACUGGGAUAACUUCGGGAAACCGGAGCUAAUACCGGAUACGUUCUUUUCUCGCAUGAGAGAAGAUGGAAAGAUGGUUUCGGCUAUCACUUACAGAUGGGCCCGCGGCGCAUUAGCUAGUUGGUGAGGUAAUGGCUCACCAAGGCGACGAUGCGUAGCCGACCUGAGAGGGUGAUCGGCCACACUGGGACUGAGACACGGCCCAGACUCCUACGGGAGUCAGCAGUAGGGAAUCUUCCGCAAUGGACGAAAGUCUGACGGAGCAACGCCGCGUGAACGAUGAAGGCCUUCGGGUCGUAAAGUUCUGUUGUUAGGGAAGAACAAGUACCAGAGUAACUGCUGGUACCUUGACGGUACCUAACCAGAAAGCCACGGCUAACUACGUGCCAGCCGCCGCCGUAAAAC
rnacentral:rRNA from 1 species